GAGGGUGUAGCUCAGUGGUGGAGCAUGUGUUUAGCAUGCAUGAGGUCCUGGGUUCAAUCCCCAGCACCACCA
rnacentral:tRNA from 1 species